GAUGAAGAACGCAGCGAAAUGCGAUACGUAAUGUGAAUUGCAGAAUUCAGUGAAUCAUCGAAUCUUUGAACGCACCUUGCGCUCCUUGGUAUUCCGAGGAGCAUGCCUGUUUGAGUGUCAUUAAUAUAUCAACCUUCUCUUUUUUGAGUUGUUUGGAUGUGGGGGUUUGCUGGCCUCUUAAAUGAUUCAGCUCCCCUGAAAUGCAUUAGCAGAACAACCUGUUCAUUAGCGUGAUAAUUAUCUAUGCUAUUGAAUGUGAGGGCAGUUCAGCUUUCUAACCGUCCUUGGACAAUUCAUCAUUAAUGUGACCUCAAAUCAGGUAGGACUACCCGCUGAACUUAAGCAUAUCAAUAAGCGGAGGA
rnacentral:misc_RNA from 1 species